AUGAUCGCGUCGCCGAUGGUGUUCAGCAGCGUGCGGUUCACGCCCGCGCCGACCUCGUCCAAAAAGACGAUCUUGGCGUCGACCAUCAUG
rnacentral:tRNA from 1 species